UUACGGCCAGAUCACGUUGAAACACCAGUUCCCGUACGAUUACCGAGGUUAAGCAACGUCGAGCCUGGUCAGUACCUAGAUGGGUGACCGUUUGGGAAUACCGGGUGCUGUAAG
rnacentral:rRNA from 1 species